rnacentral:rRNA from 1 species
GACGAACGCUGGCGGCGUGCCUAAUACAUGCAAGUCGAACGCAGUGGGGACGGGUGAGUAACACGUGGGUAACCUCCCAUCAGAGGGGAUAACACUUGGAAACAGGUGCUAAACCGAUACUGAUGGAUGAACCCGCGGUGCAUUAGCUAGUUGGUGAGGUAACGGCUCACCAAGGCCACGAUGCAUAGCCGGCCUGGGAGGGUGAUCGGCCACACUGGGACUUGGACACGGCCCAGACUCCCACGGGAGGCAGCAGGAGGGAAUCUUCCGCAAUGGGCGAAAGUCUUAACGAGCAACGGCGCGUGAGUUGAGAAGGUUUUCGGGUCGUAAAACUUUUGUGUUAAAGAAGCGGUAUCUAACCAGGAAGCCACGGCUUACUACGGGCCAGCAGCCGCGGUAAUAC